UCCCUGGAGGACUAGUGGUUAGGCCUCAGCGCUCUCACCGCUGUGGCCCGGGUUCGGCUCCCGGGCCAGGCAA